rnacentral:lncRNA from 1 species
GUGAGAGAGAGAGGGGGUCGACAUGGUGAGAGAGAGAGGGGGUCGACAUGGUGAGAGAGAGAGGGGGUCGACAUGGUGAGAGAGAGGGGGGGUCGACAUGGUGAGAGAGAGAGGGUUCGACAUGGUAACAGAGAGAGAGAGAGGGGGGUCGACAUGGUGAGAGAGGGGGGUCGACAUGGUGAGAGAGAGGGGGUCGACAUGGUGAGAGAGAGGGGGGUCGACAUGGUGAGAGAGAGAGACGGGGUCGACAUGGUGAGAGAGACGGGGGGGUCGAACAUGGUAACAGAGAGAGAGGGGGUCGACAUGGUAACAGAGAGAGGGGGGGGGUCGACAUGGUAACAGAGAGAGAGAGAGGGGGUCGACAUGGUAACAGAGAGAGAGAGAGGGGGUCGACAUGGUAACAGAGAGAGAGAGAGGGGGUCGACAUGGUAACAGAGAGAGAGAGAGAGAGGGGGUCGACAUGGUAACAGAGAGAGAGAGAGAGGUCGACAUGGUAACAGAGAGAGAGAGGGGGUCGACAUGGUGAGAGAGAGAGAGAGGGAAGUACAUGGUAAGAGAGAGAGAGGGGGGUCGACAUGG